ensembl:snoRNA small nucleolar RNA SNORD35
UGCACGUGAUGGUUAUCUCACGAUGGUCUUCCAAGCUUCUUGGCUGUGAGGACACUGCCUUAUGGCAACACUGAUGCAGUGCU